rnacentral:lncRNA from 1 species
GGUACAUGGAACCAUUUUGCCUCAAAGAAGAGCUACAACAACAACAGCCCCAUAAAGUUCAGACAGCAUGAAGGAUCUAACAUUAGGGUUUCUUAUUUACAUACAUUCAAUGAAAUAGUGCUUUGGAACAGUAUCAAGGGGAUCUCAUUUGUUCAUAGCAUAACUGCUACUACAAUCCAUCCUUUUUCUCUUCACAUUGCCAAAGGUGUGUCUCCACAUCCAAUAAUCUUGUUGCCUUUUGUGGAUACUCUAAGAUCUGCAUCUUCCCUCCCAUUUGAUCCAUUAGGAGGUGCAUUUUUGGAGUUUGACCUGGCACAAAUGUAAUUUUAGUUGAUACUUUCAUUCCUGAUUUUUUUAUUGUAUAUAUAUAUAUUUGAAAAUUUAUUAAGACAGACAGAACUUGCAAUUUAAGCAGAGUAAUACA